AAUAUUGCGCAAUGGACGAAAGUCUGACGCAGCGACGCCGCGUGUGGGAUGAAGCCUUUCGGGGUGUAAACCACUGUUGCCCGGGACGAAACUCCUUUUUCGAGAGGAUUGACGGUACCGGGUGAGGAAGCACCGGCUAACUCUGUGCCAGCAGCCGCGGUAAUACAGAGGGUGCGAGCGUUGUCCGGAAUCACUGGGCGUAAAGGGCGCGUAGGUGGCUUGGUAAGCGUGUGGUGAAAGUCCGGGGCUCAACCCCGGAUCUGCCGUGCGAACUGCUGAGCUGGAGCACUGUAGAGGCAGGUGGAAUUUCGGAUGUAGCGGUGGAAUGCGUAGAUAUCCGAAAGAGCACCAGUGGCGAAGGCGGCCUGCUGGGCAGUUGCUGACACUGAGGCGCGACAGCGUGGGGAGCAAACA
rnacentral:rRNA from 1 species